rnacentral:lncRNA from 1 species
AAAGAAAAAGAAAUCAGGAGAAACUGAGAAUCCAUAUGAGUAAUACACUCAAUUGGACAUAAACUCUGCAGACUCUUAUGGGAAUAAGAAAUGGAAUAAAAUGCGUGAGCAGGUCACGACUUGCUGAGAAACACGACAGGAAUUACAUGAAAAUAAAUCAACGGAAAGACUCGAGCUGACUCAAAGAUGCAUGUAUUGGGGAAUAUGCAAAUACAACAAAGCUAUCCAUAAAGGAUACUUCAGAUAAAAAUCCGGACUCAGAUGGGGAAAAUCCACUAAG